CCAACCUUCAGUCAAGGAAAGGAAAUAGAGUCUGUGUGGGAGGGUCAGGUCUGUGCAACACAUAUUCCCCACGGCUGGAGAAGAAUUAGUGAUUGACUGUGGGAUGGAAAGACCUGUGAAAACAGGGCAGGGAAAAAUCACUUUUUGGUCUCGGAACUCAGCUUUGGCGCGCUCACGUUUGGUGUCGGAGCUCAUUUCUUUUCUGAAACUGGGAUGUGAUAAAGGAUGGGGAUCCUGGCCUUUCUGCAUUGCAAGGUUCUUUCUGCCUCCAAGUGUGGGGGUAGCAAGCAAAGGGGCUGUGCUGAUGCCUUCAAAGAUGUACAGGUGUGAUUUCUCUACAUAAUAUUGCCUGAGAAAGAGACCUAGACAUGGCGGAGGAAGAGGAAGAAACGGCGGGUUCUCAGAGUGCUCUGGACAAUGAUGGCUCGCCCCUUGUUCAGUGGGAAUACAGGCUUUUGUUAGCAAAUGUUCUGUCUUGCUUUCUCUAAGCUGAAUAUGGUCCCUUUUUUGAGCAAAGAGCCCUAUAGGAUGUGAAGCAAAGGAGAUAACAGUCAUACACCCAGGGUCUCUGCUCCAGUAAUCUUCCGUGGCAGUCAGAGUGAGAGAAAAGGCUUCCCCAUGGCUAGUAAGUGUCUAUGUGUUCUGACUCUUCUUCUACUGCUUAUGGGAGCCUGGGAAAAUCUGUGCACAUACAACGUUCCUUUUUGUCAUUCAUGUGAGUUUCUCCUCCCUUAACCUUUGGAGGCACUUGUCUCCUAGACACUUACACACUCCACUGGGGAUGUGAGGUAGACUGACCCUCCCACAGUCAGAUCUACCUAAAGCAGACUUGUCCAUAGACCAGACCUGGUACUAGGUACUUAGAAAUGAAUCUGGGAGGCUUACAGUCUUUACCCAGGCCUCAGGAUAGAACAACCUGGGCUACUUCAUUAAGGUAUAAUUGAUCUGGGCCCUGCUAAAGAGUCACUGACAGAAUCUAUGGGGGUGGGGCACAGGCAAUGAUAGCUCUUAAAAACACAGAGAUGGGAGUUCCCAUUGUGACUCAGCGGAAACGAAUCCAUCUAGGAACCAUGAGGUUUUGG